UACGGAGGGUGCAAGCGUUAUCCGGAUUUACUGGGUUUAAAGGGUGCGUAGGUGGGUAGGAAAGUCAGUGGUGAAAUCUUCGGGCUUAACCCGGAAACUGCCAUUGAUACUAUUUAUCUUGAAUACUUUGGAGGUAAGCGGAAUAUGUCAUGUAGCGGUGAAAUGUCUUAGAUAUGACAUAGAACACCAAAUUGCGAAGGCAGCUUACUACACAGUUAUUGACACUGAGGCACGAAAGCGCGGGGAUCAAAACAGG
rnacentral:rRNA from 1 species